rnacentral:sRNA from 1 species
CUGUACCACGCUUGCACUCCGAUCUGCACGACGGCCGCACCUACCUGACGGCUGCUCGCGAGGUUUGUUAGCC